GGCUUGGAAAUGGGCCCCAUCAACUGUGUGUCACCUGAGCACAUUCUCCCAGGGGUCCAGGAGGGGCCAUCGUAAUCAAGCUUGGACAUGCCUGAAGCAUGUUCAGUGACUAAAAGUGCCUACCAUGAGCAGCUGGAACCCACUCCCUGAGAGCUUCAAGAUGCAUGGGUACCUCAUGUACCUGUUUGUAAUUACAGCCAAGGACCAGCAGGCAGCAUCAGAACCACCCAUUCAUGAGGGUCACCACCACAUUGCAGGUGUGCAGCUGGACGGCUCCCCAGGCAGAGCCUGCCAUGGACUCCAUGCACACAGAGGAUGCACAGCCGGGGCUGGAACAAGGACCUGUGGAUAAUGAGGGAACUGCUCUGCAAUAACCGGCCUGAGCAGCUGCUUCAAGAAACAGCCACAAUCAAGCUGACCCGUGGAGCCAGGAGGUGAUUUACAACAUCUGCAAGGCAGUCAGCCCCAUCAGCUCUAUGCCCUUCAACAUUCACUUCAACUCAAACAGAUCCCUGAAGGAGGGCUGUGAGCUCAUCAGGGAGACCCUGAGCCUGUGGAACAUGCCUGAGGCCAAGCCCAUGGGGAUUUGUGUCUACUUGCACCUCCUUGCUCAUCGUCCCUGAGUAACCAACACAAGGCAGUGCUAAUAAGCAGGGGAGUGAUGGGCAUCGGGAACCCCAAUACUAUCCGGGGCCCUGUGCUGCUUCUCCAGCAGCCGGCUGCCUAUGGCCCUGAGCCUGUCACACCAUGCUUGCUACCUCAUGCUACUUGUGU
rnacentral:lncRNA from 1 species